rnacentral:rRNA from 1 species
GACGAACACUGGCGGCGUGCCUAAUACAUGCAAGUCGACCUUAGUUGCGAACGGGUGAGUACCACGUGGGUAACCUGCCCAUCAGAAGGGGAUAACACUUGUAAACAGGUGCUAAUACAGUAUACUGAUGGAUGGACCCGCGGUGCAUUAGCUAGUUGGUGAGGUAACGGCGCACCAAGGCCAUGAUGCAUAGCCGACCUGGGAGAGUGAUCGGCCACAGUGGGACUGAGACACGGCCCAAACUCCUACGGGAGGCAGCAGUAGGGAAUCUUCGGCAAUGGACGAAAGUCUGACCGAGCAACGCCGCGUGAGUGAAGAAGGUUUUCGGAUCGUAAAACUCUGUUGUUAGAGAAGCGGUAUCUAACCAGAAAGCCACGGCUAACUACGUGCCAGCAGCCGCGGUAAUAC